rnacentral:rRNA from 1 species
AUACGUAGGGAGCGAGCGUUGUCCGGAAUUACUGGGUGUAAAGGGAGCGUAGGCGGGAGUGCAAGUCAGAUGUGAAAUACAUAGGCUCAACCCAUGGGCUGCAUUUGAAACUGCAUUUCUUGAGUGAAGUAGAGGUAAGCGGAAUUCCUGGUGUAGCGGUGAAAUGCGUAGAUAUCAGGAGGAACACCGGUGGCGAAGGGGACUUACUGGGCUUUUACUGACGCUGAGGCUCGAAAGCGUGGGGAGCAAACAGGAUUAGAUACCCUGGUAGUCCACGCUGUAAACGAUGAAUACUAGGUGUGGGGGGACUGACCCCCUCCGUGCCGCAGUUAACACAAUAAGUAUUCCACCUGGGGAGUACGGCCGCAAGGUUGAAACUCAAAUGAAUUGGCGGGG